rnacentral:misc_RNA from 1 species
GAUGAAGAACGUAGCAAAAUGCGAUAAGUAAUGUGAAUUGCAGAAUUCAGUGAAUCAUCGAAUCUUUGAACGCACAUUGCGCCCGCCAGUAUUCUGGCGGGCAUGCCCGUUCGAGCGUCAUUUCAACCCUCAAGCACAGCUUGGUGUUGGGACUCGCGUUAAUUCGCGUUCCCCAAAUUGAUUGGCGGUCACGUCGAGCUUCCAUAGCGUAGUAGUAAAACCCUCGUUACUGGUAAUCGUCGCGGCCACGCCGUUAAACCCCAACUUCUGAAUGUUGACCUCGGAUCAGGUAGGAAUACCCGCUGAACUUAAGCAUAUCAAAAGCGGAGGA